GUGAAUCAUCAAAUUUUUGAACGCAUAUUGCACUCUCUGGUAUUCCGGAGAGUAUGCCUGUUUGAGGGUCAGUUAAAUUAAAAUUGGGGGUGUUUCCUCCUUUUCUGGUGACGGCACGGGAUUUGGUUGUUUUUGCCUUCGGGUUAGUGGCCUAAAAUUUUUCGUAUGUUUUUCGAACGUAUUUAAAUUUAUUUGGUAAGGUUUGCAAUAUCGAAUGUUAAUUAGAAGCGUCCUUCUGAAUGG
rnacentral:misc_RNA from 1 species